GGACUUCUUGCAGCCAGGCCGCCGCUCUUCCUCCUCCGGCCCUCCCUGCGCAGCCAGGCUGGGAAGGAGCCAGUGGCUCUCGGACAUGGCCGAGAAGGGGAAGACCUCCCAUGGCAGGGAUGGGGUUUUGGGAAGGCUGGAGGAGGACCAGCACCGCUGAGCCCGCCCUGAGGACCCAUCGCAUCCCCUUGUGCAACAAAGCCCCAGCGGUAAAUCCUCGCUUGGCCCCCGGAGCUGCCCACAAAGGAGCUGCGCUGAACGAGAGCACCGCGGCGGUCGGAAAGGGCUUUGAGUGUGUGCCCAAGCUUCUCCCGGCCAGCAGACAGGCCGGGCUUUUUGCUAUUUCUACAGGAGUGGGGAUUGGCACCAUCACACAUCUCAGGUGAUG